rnacentral:rRNA from 1 species
CGUAACACGUGAGGAACUUGUCCCGGUCUCUGGGAUAACAGUUGGAAACGACUGCUAAUACCGGAUGACGUCGGAACUUCGCAUGGAGUACUGACGAAAGGGUUACUGGAUCGGGAGAACCUCGCGGCCUAUCAGCUUGUUGGUGGGGUAAUGGCCUACCAAGGCAUCGACGGGUAGCUGGUCUGAGAGGAUGAUCAGCCACACUGGGACUGAGACACGGCCCAG